GGCCACUGCUAUUGGGGUCCGAUUAAGCCAUGCGAGUCAUGGGGCGCCUUGUGCGCACCGGCGGACGGCUCAGUAACACGUCGGUAACCUACCCUCGGGAGGGGGAUAACCCCGGGAAACUGGGGCUAAUCUCCCAUAGGUUUAGGGCACUGGAAGGUCCCUAAACCGAAAGGGGCUCUGCCCGCCCGAGGAUGGGCCGGCGGCCGAUUAGGUAGUUGGUGGGGUAACGGCCCACCAAGCCCAUAAUCGGUACGGGCAGUGAGAGCUGGAGCCCGGAGAUGGACACUGAGACACGGGUCCAGGCCCUACGGGGCGCAGCAGGCGCGAAACCUCCGCAAUGCUCGAAAGAGCGACGGGGGGACCCCAAGUGCCGUGGUACAACCACGGCUUUUCCGGAGUGUAAGAAGCUCCGGGAAUAAGGGCUGGGCAAGGCCGGUGGCAGCCGCCGCGGUAAUACCGGCGGCCCGAGUGGUGGCCACUAUUAUUGGGCCUAAAGCGUCCGUAGCCGGGCUUGUAAGUCCCUGGCGAAAUCCCACGGCUCAACCGUGGGGCUUGCUGGGGAUACUGCAAGCCUUGGGACCGGGAGAGGCCGGGGGUACUCCUGGGGUAGGGGUGAAAUCCUAUAAUCCCAGGAGGACCGCCAGUGGCGAAGGCGCCCGGCUGGAACGGGUCCGACGGUGAGGGACGAAGGCCAGGGGAGCAAACCGGAUUAGAUACCCGGGUAGUCCUGGCUGUAAAGGAUGCGGGCUAGGUGUUGCUUGGACCUCGAGUCCAAGCAGUGCCGCAGGGAAGCCGUUAAGCCCGCCGCCUGGGGAGUACGGCCGCAAGGCUGAAACUUAAAGGAAUUGGCGGGGGAGCACUACAAGGGGUGGAGCGUGCGGUUUAAUUGGAUUCAAUGCCGGGAACCUCACCGGGGGCGACGGCAGGAUGAAGGCCAGGCUGAAGGUCUUGCCGGCACGCCGAGAGGAGGUGCAUGGCCGCCGUCAGCUCGUACCGUGAGGCGUCCACUUAAGUGUGGUAACGAGCGAGACCCGCGCCCCCAGUUGCCAGCCCUUCCCGUUGGGAAGGAGGCACUCUGGGGGGACUGCCGGCGAUAAGCCGGAGGAAGGAGCGGGCGACGGUAGGUCAGUAUGCCCCGAAACCCCCGGGCUACACGCGCGCUACAAUGGGCGGGACAAUGGGAUCCAACCCCGAAAGGGGAAGGAAAUCCCCUAAACCCGCCCCCAGUUCGGAUUGCGGGCUGCAACUCGCCCGCAUGAAGCUGGAAUCCCUAGUACCCGCGUGUCAUCAUCGCGCGGCGAAUACGUCCCUGCUCCUUG
rnacentral:rRNA from 1 species